rnacentral:misc_RNA from 1 species
AACCAUUCUCACCUGCGGCUAGACCUGCGGAAGGAUCAUUACCGAGUGCGGGUCCGCGUGGCCCAACCUCCCACCCGUGCCUAUUGUACCCUGUUGCUUCGGCGGGCCCGCCAGCCUUCGGGCUGGCCGCCGGGGGGCGUCUCGCCCCCGGGCCCGUGCCCGCCGGAGACCCCAACAUGAACCCUGUUCUGAAAGCUUGGUGUCUGAGUGUGAUUGUUUGCAAUCAGUUAAAACUUUCAA